UAGGGAAUCUUCCGCAAUGGACGCAAGUCUGACGGAGCAACGCCGCGUGAGUGAUGAAGGUUUUCGGAUCGUAAAGCUCUGUUGCCAGGGAAGAACGCCUAGGAGAGGAACUGCUCUUAGGGUGACGGUACCUGAGAAGAAAGCCCCGGCUAACUACGUGCCAGCAGCCGCGGUAAUACGUAGGGGGCAAGCGUUGUCCGGAAUUAUUGGGCGUAAAGCGCGCGCAGGCGGUUGGUUAAGUUUGGUGUUUAAGCCUGGGGCUCAACCCCGGAACGCACUGAAAACUGGUCAACUGGAGUGCGGGAGAGGAAAGUGGAAUUCCACGUGUAGCGGUGAAAUGCGUAGAGAUGUGGAGGAACACCAGUGGCGAAGGCGACUUUCUGGACCGUAACUGACGCUGAGGCGCGAAAGCGUGGGGAGCAAACA
rnacentral:rRNA from 1 species